GGAGAGGUGGCAGAGUGGUCGAAUGCGCACGCUUGGAAAGCGUGUGUACCGCAAGGUACCGUGGGUUCGAAUCCCACCCUCUCCG
rnacentral:tRNA from 1 species